CUCGAGGGGUGGAUUGCACUUGGCAUGACGGGGUUUGAGAAGGGAUGCGAAGCGAAGCAGGUUGACAGGAGAGAGUGAGCACACGCCGGGGGUAAAUGGCAUGACGGGGUGCUGUUUCCGUUGCGUGCUCAAAUCUCUUGUUGUCAACCUUUCGCUGUUAUUUCUUCUGUGAUCAUACUUGAAAAUGCGCUCCCCUCCCACCGGAGAAGAGAGAGAGAGAGAGAGGGAGGUGGAGAAAGAGAGUGAUUGAACGUGUCUAACGAGGCUGCCUUUUACUUCGUCAGUGUUUCGGCGGCCGCGUUGCGAUGUUUUGCUUUGCUUCGCUUCGCUGUCAGUCAUAUCCUAUCUGCCUAUCAGCUCGACGGAUUUGCGUGGGUGAAGAAGCGCGUGCUUAAUUGCCUCUCCGGUUUUCGCUCUUUCCUUUCAUUAAUGCUUAUAAAGUUCUAGAAAUUGGGAAAUUGUAGGAAUAAUCGCGUCUGUUGAAAAGGGAAGUAAGAGAGAGAGAGAGAGAGCGAUGGAUGAGGGAGUGGUAUUGUCCGUCUCUGCCCUGUUUGUAAUGAAGCCGGAGAGAGAGAAUAGAAAGAGUACAGUACUACACCUUGAAGCAGGCUGUGCCGCCUCACCGGAAGACACUGUUUGACCAAUUCCACUCUCCUUCUUGGUGUUCUCCCAUCUUUUCUGUCGUCCUUCUUGCUGGCUUUCCUUUCCUUUCCAUGUCUGUUGCCUGUUUCGGAUAGGGUUUGGAGCGUUUCAACAAAACAUGGAUUCAAGCUGUGAGGAUCCGUGGAGAGAAGGUGCUCCCGGAGGUUCAUGUCCACCAUCGUCCAUUCCCGACCAUCACACUGUUUUUUCUUUCGUUUGCGCUCGAGACCAUUUCCUCACCACCUUGAUGGGCUGUUGCUUUGUCAACUUGAACAAAGACUCACUCGCUGCUCUCGCCACGACUCCGACGAGCGGAAAGGGGUGAGCUUUGUUGCCCUUCCCCAUGCCUGAUCGAUUCAUCUCGACUAGCUUUUGUGGAAAGAAGCCAAUGAAUCAUCGCUGGUAUCUGUCAGGGUUUGGAGCGUUUCAACAAAACAUGGAUUCAAGCUGUGAGGAUCCGCGGAGAGAAGGUGCUCCCCGAGGUUCAUGCCCACCAUCGUCCAUUCCUGGCCAUCUAACUGUGUUUUCUUUCGUUUGCGCUCGAGACCAUUUCCUCACCACCUUGAUGGGCUGUUACUUUGCCAACUUGAACAAAGACUCGCUGCUCCAGUACAAUGGAUCAUCUCUUUUUACAAGCAACCUGGAGGUGUUUGUAUUGCAUUGUAUCAUUUCAUUAUAAUUCACCGAUCUUAAUAAUAGUAAAAGAUCCAUGUAGCCGAUCUUAAAUAAUUGGGACAGCUUUGUUGUUGUUGUUUGUUGUUAUUGUAAAUUAAAUCGGUAUCGAUCCAUUUCAAUGAACACAAAUCACUGGUCUAAAUGUAUUUACCUGUGAUUGAAACUGGCACAGGAUUCACAACUGCUGUUCUUAGUUUUUUGUUUUUACCGAUUCUCUGGAUCUCGAAUUGUAUCAUUGUUCUUAUUUUCCGAGACCAGCUUAGAACUUUUCAUUUCAAAGUGCUUCUUGUUGCUUCUGCAUAGUCCUUGUUGCAAUUGCUGUAUGCUUUCCCAUAAUCCAUCUAUCAA